rnacentral:rRNA from 1 species
AGAAAUCUCACCAGGCCCGGACACUGGAAGGAUUGACAGAUUGAUAGCUCUUCCUUGAUUCGGUGGGUGGUGUUGCAUGGCUGUUCUUAGUUGGUUGAGUGAUUUGUCUUGUUAAUUCCUAUAACGAACGAGACUCUGUCCUGCUAAAUAGUGCCUCUUUCUCUUUCGAGCAGACAAUUCUUCUUAGAGGGACUAUCGGAUUCAAACCGAUGGAAGUGUGAGGCAAUAA